CUGGGGCAAUGGUCACAGUAGCAGGUGGGCAAAUGGUGGGCUGGGUCUGUUUGCCAUUCUCCUACUGACUGCCAGGUGCUGUAGGUGUGUCCUCAAUUUCAUCUUCCCAGAGGGGCCAGAAAUCAGAAAAGCAACCUAUUGAAGCAGAGAAUGAGGAAUUGGGAUUCUUGCACAUAUUUAUGAUUCCAUCAUGGCUUGGGUUAACUCACACAACUAGCAUGAUUCAAAUUGUUUACCAAUUAAUAUCUGUAAAUAUCUGUUCCUCACAGAAAGGUGCUGAGAUUCUAUUCACCCUUUUCUAUUGCUUUGCCAUCGUCACAAAAGAACGUCCUGAAUACCAAAUAAUCCAUGAAAUGUAUUUAAGCACAGUAUUACUGGAACAAGAUUGCUGCAUCAUUUGUGAACUUUCCCAUGGGGAAACAAAAAGGCAAAGCUGCAAUAAAUCUCCAGGUUUAAAGUCAAAAACUCCUAAGCCAAAAAGCUGUGAUCUCCAAAUGAAAACAAGAUAAAGGGUACUGCUGUUUUUAGGACUCUCAUGAAGCUCUACCAUGCUUUCUACAUUCUGCAGUCACAAAAGGACAAGAUUAUGCUCAUCCAUAAGUUGGAUAAGUUGUCUAUAAUACAGCUAUCUAUAUCACAGCGGGUUGUCUGAGGUACCAUCUAGUCAACUCUGUCAAAGAGGACAGCCACUGAAUCAGCUCAUCCCAAAGAAGGCACCUACGUCUCAUCAUACAAAUCACACCUUAACUCUCCUAAAUUCAUUGAGCCUGUCUCAUCUGACUGCAGCGAGAGCUCAGGAUGACAAGCUUGGGUCAGACGUCAUUAUUGCAGCAACCUAGAUUUCAGCAAGAUGAAUUGUAUCUGAAAUACUUGACACUGGUGAUGAUGGUAGGCUAGUUGCAAUGAGGGAGCAGAAAAUGUAUCCCUUUCCUGCAGAAGUUACAAACCUGAGCUGCCAAGGAUGGGUCCUGAAGCCAGACGAAUUCUUCUUAAUGUGUUUCACCCAAAGAUAAGGUGACAGAUUUUUCCAGCUGCAGAAACACUGCUGGGAAGGGGAAGAACUGAAGCACCAAGAAAUUUCCCAACACAUGUCCAAUUCAAGGAGUGUGGCAGGUGGCUAUUCCUGCUGGGCAGGAUCCUUCCUUUGCUUGCUGGGUGCUGAUGCUUUACACACCCCAGUCCAUCCAUACAGACAACAAAAAAAAGACAGUGGGACCAAGGUCGUGUUUGCAGUCACCACGGUUCAGUAUUCCAUGUGCCUUUCUAUCCUGCUAAAGCUAGUUAUUGGAAUGGUAGAGAAUGCUUAAUGCACUGUGGUGAAACAAGUUUCAGCAGCUGUUUCAACAUAUGCCACUUAAUGCUAUGGGAAAAGAUAUGCAAGUACUGUCUACUUUGGGAAAGCACCAAAAACAGCACAUUACGAAUAUUUCCAAUGGGGAAGGUGGUGAGGGGGAAGAAAAAGCUUAAAUUAAACGAAGUUAAUGUUUAAAAAUGAUGAAUCACUGUCUAAUUAUGAAUUUUCCUGAAAAGUUUUAUAUUGUCUGUGUUGCUUUCUGGGAAAAUCUGGCUUUUAUUUUUUAUAUAUAUAUAUUUUUAGGGGGUGGGAACAGCCAUGGAAAAGCCCCAAAUUAUCAUAAACAUGUCCUUUCACGUUGCCAUACUGUAUUAUUAAGUGAUCAUUUUGGAUAUCUGUUACAACCAUGUAUAUCCAGUGGAGCUUUUCCAAUGUUAAAGGCAUUUCAGCAGUAUAUAACUACAAUGAGCUCAGAAAGAAUCCUGUAGCCUUUGUUAUUUUCUGAAAAAUGUAAUUUCUAUUCAUUUACCUCAUUCUGAAUUUCAAUGAAGCCUCUAGUAUUAUCUCUCAAUUCCAGUUUUAAGUAUUGAUAGUAACCUGCUGUGUGACAUAUAAAAUAUCCACCCAUCCUCUAGCAUUAUAUUCAUCAGUUUCCAGUAAAUAGAAAUGAUCCUGACAUAAUCUUUGAAAGCAUGUAUUCAACAGGGCUAGAGGGCAUUUUGUGGUUAAUCUGUGUAACUGUCAUAGAUUUGGAUUCAAAUCCAGUUUAGAUCACAAAUGAAAAUAAAUUCUGCUUCAUACCCA
rnacentral:lncRNA from 1 species